GCCUGGCACAGUGGUGCCACUUGUAGUUCCAGCUACUCGGGAGGCUGAGGCAGGAGGAUCGCUUGAGCCCAGGAGUUUGGGCUGUAGUUCUCUAUGCUGAUAGGCAGUCUGCACUAAGUUGAGCAUAAAUAUGGUGACCUCCUGGGAGCAGUGAACAACUAGGUCACACAAGAAGGGUGAACCAGCCCAGGGUGGAAAUGGAGCAGGCCAAAACUCCUGUGCUGAUCAGUAGUGGGAUCAUGCCUGUGAAGAGCCACUGCACUCCAGCCUGGGCAGCACAGCAAGACCCCAUCU
rnacentral:SRP_RNA from 10 species